rnacentral:miRNA from 1 species
AAAAGAAAACAAAAAAUACA